UCAUGAUCAAUAUGACUUUGAACCUCGUGGCGGUGGCUUUGCUUCUCAGUCCCACAGCUCUAGCGGACCACGUUUUCCCUUUCGUGGUGAUCGCUUUCCUCAAAUGGGACAUGGCAUGCUUGGUGUUUUUCCUAACACUUUUCCAGGGCAAAUGACCCAACACUGGUAUCCUUCACAGUUUACUAACCCCAGUGUUGCGCCAUUUGCUCACCCCAUGUCUUUCUAUUGAUGCAGAUCGGAGGCCUGGAGAACACGUGGCUUGUUGAUUCCGGUUGUUCGCGCCACAUGACCGGAAGUUCAAAAUGGUUCUCCAGCCUCGACCCCGUGCAAUGUAAGGAAUACAUCACAUUUGGGGACAACAGCAAAGGUAAAGUGCUUUCUCGUGGGACCAUUCGGGUCAAUGAGAAUUUUGUCUUGAAGGAUGUUGCUUUGGUUUCGAAUUUGCAUUUUAAUUUGCUUUCGGUUUCGCAACUCCUUCAGGAUGGUUUUGAGGUGCGUUUUAAGACCGGCUUGUCUCGAGUUCUUGAUUCUCAGGGAAAUCUUGUUUGCCAGAUUGUCCCUUUUGGUCGUGUCUUUCGAGCCGAUUUUUCUUACUCUUUUGGCUCUUCUCGUUGUCUUGUGGCUGGAUCCUCUUCUGAUCUUUGGAAAUGGCAUAGGAGACUUGGUCAUUUGAGCUUUGACUUACUAGCUAGGUUGAGCUCACUUGACUUAAUCCGAGGAUUGCCCAAAUUGAAAUUUGAGAAGGAUUUGGUUUGUCACCCUUGUCGUCAUGGGAAGAUGGUUGCCGCUUCUCACCCUCCUGUGACUCAGGUCAUGACCAAGGGACCCGGUGAGCUACUUCAUAUGGACACAGUUGGUCCGGCUCGGGUUCGGUCAGAGGGAGGGAAGUGGUAUGUUCUAGUGAUUGUGGAUGACUUUUCUCGCUACUCUUGGGUGUUUUUCAUGGAGGGUAAGGAUGAGGCUUUUUCUCAUGUUCGAGACUUGAUUCUUCGGUUACAAACUGAGUUGCCUAAGAAUGCCAUGAGAGCUAUACGCAGUGACAAUGGCACAGAAUUCAAAAACACUCAGUUUGAUACCUUCUGUGCUUCUUUGGGCCUCGAGCAUCAGUUUUCCUCUCCUUAUGUUCCCCAGCAAAAUGGUGUUGUUGAGCGCAAAAAUCGGACCCUUGUUGAGAUGGCCAGGACGAUGCUCGAUGAGCAUAGGACUCCUAGGAGAUAUUGGGCCGAGGCGAUCAACACCGCCUGUCAUGUCUCCAAUCGCAUUUUUCUUCGAGCCUUCUUGAAAAAGACUUCUUAUGAGUUGCGAUUUGGUAGACUACCCAAGGUAAGUCACUUUAGGGUGUUUGGUUGCAAGUGUUUCAUCUUGAAGCAAGGUAAUUUGGAUAAAUUUGAGUCCAGGUCCUCCGACGGUAUUUUUCUUGGUUAUGCUUCUCAUUCUCAUGCAUAUCGUGUACUUAACCUUGAAACUAACCGAGUCGUGGAGACCUGUGAGGUCACAUUCGAUGAGACUAUGCCUUGUUCUUCUCCUGUUUUUGAAUGUGCAGGUGAUCAGGAGAUUGGUGAGAGCAUCUUUGUUGAGGAUGAUGCAGAAGAUGCCGAUUGGGGUGAUCCCGAGCCGACACCACUGGCUGCCCCUCUCGCGUCUUCGACGACUACUUCGGCUGACGGCCCCGAUCCUUCUUCUUCUUCCACUACUUGGGGUCCGGUCGAGCAGCCUCCUCAGCCUACACCGGCUGUCCCUGAGGAGGCCCCAGCUGCAGUUGAGGGGGAGGCGACUUCUUCAAGGGAAGCACCUCGACACAUUCAGCGUCGCCAUCCACCUCAGACCAUGAUUGGUGGAAUUGACCAGCGAGUCACGCGGUCCAGGUCAUAUCACAUCUCACACUUCGCUCAUUCUGCUUUUGUUGCUUCUUUUGAGCCUCGAGAUGUUGGACACGCACUAUCUAAUCCUGAUUGGGUUAAUGCUAUGCAUGAGGAGUUAGAAAAUUUUGAGAGAAACAAGGUUUGGGUUUUAGUACCACUUCCACCAGAUUGCCAUCCCAUAGGUACCAAGUGGGUUUUCAAAAACAAACAGAGUGAAGAUGGGGUGGUAGUGAGGAACAAGGCUAGGUUGGUAGCUCAGGGUUUUUGUCAGAAAGAGGGGAUAGACUAUGAGGAAACCUUUGCUCCUGUUGCCCGUCUAGAAGCCAUUAGGAUCCUUUUAGCCUUUGCAGCUUCAAAAGGGUUCAAGCUGUAUCAGAUGGAUGUGAAGAGUGCUUUCUUGAAUGGGUAUAUAGAGGAAGAGGUCUAUGUGAGACAACCCCCUGGCUUUGAAAAUCCUAAGUUUCCUGACCAUGUUUUUAAACUCCACAAAGCCUUGUAUGGUCUAAAACAAGCCCCGAGAGCCUGGUAUGAGCGUUUGAAAACCUUCUUGCUUGCAAAGGGUUUUAAAAUGGGUUCGGUUGAUAAAACUUUGUUUCUCCUCAAGCAAGGCACUGACACUCUUUUGGUUCAGAUAUACGUGGAUGAUAUCAUUUUCGGUGGCUCUUCUCAUGCACUUGUUGGCAAGUUUGCAGAAACAAUGAGCAGGGAAUUUGAGAUGAGCAUGAUGGGCGAGUUGACGUUCUUUCUUGGUUUGCAAAUCAAGCAAACUAGAGAAGGGACGUUUGUGCACCAAGGCAAGUACACCAAGGACGUACUCAAGAAAUUUGAUAUGGGCGAGGCCAAGCCUCUCUCGACGCCCAUGUCGACCACGACGGCCCUGGAUGCAGAUGAAGAAGGAGAAGCUGUGGACCAGAAGGAGUACCGAAGCAUGAUUGGGUCACUACUGUACCUGACGGCGACAAGACCGGACAUCCAGUUCGCGGUCUGCUUGUGUGCGCGCUUUCAGUCUUCGCCGCGCACAUCUCAUCGUCAAGCCGUCAAGCGGAUCUUGAGGUACCUUCGUUUCACACCUGAGUUUGGUCUUUGGUUUUCAGCUUCCUCCUCUCUUUCUCUUUGCGGCUAUUCUGAUGCGGAUUAUGCCGGCUGCCGUGUUGAGCGUAAGUCCACGUCGGGGACUUGCCAGUUUCUUGGGACUUCUCUUGUGUCUUGGUCCUCUCGCAAGCAAUCCUCAGUUGCCCAAUCCACCACAGAAGCCGAGUAUGUUGCUGCUGCUGCUUGCUGCUCCCAGUUGCUUUGGAUGAUAGCUACUUUGAGAGAUUUUGGGUUAGAGUUUAGGCGAGUGCCUCUGCUUUGUGAUAGCACCAGUGCUAUAAGCGUUGCUAAAAACCCAGUUCUCCACUCAAAAACCAAGCAUAUAGAUGUCCGCUUUCACUUCCUGCGUGACCACUAUGAGAAAGGAGAUAUUGACCUACACCAUGUUGAUACCCAAAAUCAGCUUGCAGACAUCUUUACCAAACCCCUUGACCAAGCCCAGUUUGCUCGCUUGCGAGGGGAGCUUGGAGUUUGUUUCCCUUUUUAGUUGAGGGGCACUUUGGUUUUUUUGUACACUAGUUUUGUUUUCCUUUAGUUUCGCUUUUAUUUUAUUUUUGUAUCAUAUUGCAUUGCAUUUCAUCUCAUCAUGUAUAUUAGAGCAUUUUGAGCUUCAUGAUUAUAGUUGUUAGAUUGAGAUUAUGCUCUUUGUGAUAUGUCUUGUAUGUACAUGAUGGUGCUUGUCGCUUAGGCUCUUUUUGAUCACUUGAUGCAUGUUAUGAGCUAAGCAUGUUUUAUAACAUGUGAACUUGACAUAAACUUGUUGAAACCUGAAAAUUGUUCACCAUUGUGAUUGGCAACUAGCAUGUGUAGGAUGUGUUGAGAUCACUUGAGCUAUCAUUUAUAUGCUAGGUUGCUAUGUCUCAUGCUUUGAGUUAUACACUUGCUUUGACAACUUGUAAAUUCUUGUGCUAAAAAUUGAAAAUCAAGCUAAGUGAAAAGAAAAGAUCGAGAUGGGUCUGUACUGUCCUACGUCAAGGUAUCGAGACUGCUUCCAAUUGCACUUAUGGAUGAACUUGAGCCUUGUAGUGGAUGCCGAGAUCAUUGUCUUAAGCUUGCGAUUGUCUUUGACAUAGGCUUGGCAUGGUCGAUAAGUUGGUUUGAUGGUACAGAUAACCUCUUGCACUCACACAUGUUUUUGACUAAACCUUGUGAUAUGCUGCAAACUCCGAUAAAAUGAAAAUUUGAUGAAAACACAAGUCUAAAGUUAGUCUUUGACAUGAUGUAUGAACGCUGCUUGGGGUAGUUCACCUUGUAUACACUUGUUAGCACUAGGUUGAUUUCCUGCUUAUACCUGCUAUGUGCUACUUUCAGUGGUGAACUCCUUCUUACAAUUGCUUAAAAUUGAUCAAAAAUGCUUAAAUGUCAUAUUUCGUUUCACUUGAUCAGUUUGAGCAUUUGCUAGCACUUGUAAUUAUUGCUAUACACACAUGACAGCACCACCUAGAGCAUCUUUUCAAUCUGAUUGCUAUACUCCUGAAGCUUUUGUAUAUGUGCAUUUCUUGCAUUCAUAGCAUGUUUUGAGGGGGAGUUGCACUCCUUUGGGCAAAUCUUGAUAAGUGCAUGUGUCAACAAGGGGGAGAAAGUUACACACAAAAAGAGAGACAUGCAUUCAUUUGAGAGAGAUUGCAUUUGCUCCGGGGGAGUUGCAUUUGAGUUUUGAGUUGCUUUUGCUAGAUGUGUUGAGCCUUUGCCUCUUCUGGAGGGUCUAGUUGUUUUCUAGCUUUUCAAGUUUUGCUAGCGGUGUUGAGCCUGUUUGCCUCUUCUUGAGGGCUAGCUGUGUUUUACUUGGUUGUGUCGAGCCGUUGCCCAUGUCUUUGGGGACCAAGUUGUUGGCUUUGCUUUACUCAUUGUGAGUGACUCGUUUUGAGCUUACACUUAAGUUGGUUUUCUCUGGCUUUGUGUUGGUGUUGACAAUGCACUCAUCAAGGGGGAGAUUGCGAACAUAUGGUUUUUACAUAACCAUUGUGGAGUACCCUUGUUGUCUGAUGAGCGAUUGUCAACAUGCCAACAUUUUGGUGGAUUGUUGGUUCGCUGGUUCUACUGAUAUCCUGGCACAGGGUUAUGUGUCGAAACGGUGUCUCUUGGCUUCGUUAUGUGCAGGUGUGGAGUCUGGAUGCGGUGGCAGCGGUCGGGUGAAGGUCAAGUAGGGCGUGCCGUGCUGACGGACCGGUUGCGGUGAAAGGCGGACGUGAGGCUUGGACUGACGGACCAGACGACCGGGUGGCCAGCUGCGGUGGCUGACACUUGGGACAUCGAUAAGCGCAAGUGUACACGGCGGGGGACGCGUACGGGCUACGCUACUCGCGGCGGGUUUCGCGGGUUUGGGCCUCAAAACCCGGGCGGAGGUCCCGAUGUGGACGGAUGGCACGUGGCGGCAUCGGUGAGAUUGCUUCGGAGCGAGGCUACCGGUGAGGAGGCGCGGUGGCCGUCGGAUUUAGGUCAUGUCGAGUUGGACUAGAAUGCCCCUGGGGCUAGCUAGUUCGCUCAAAAAAUAUCUAAGGGCAAAUAGGGAAUGUAAAAUAGCCUCUAAAUAAGAGAGGGGUUGCCCCAAACCGUCUCUCUCUGAUUUUCGUUUUUCAUUUUAGACUUAGGUUUUCUUACCAACGUGAGCACUAGAGAGAUCCUUAGACUGUUCUGUGUAUUGUUGUGUUUGGAACCUGUGAUCUGAUGGGAAGUGAGGCCCUUACCUCACGUUGCCCUCUGGGGUUCGUUUCCUGGUGUUGGGUGUUCUGAGUCUGCUGUUCGUGACUCUCGUUUCCUUCCUGCUUCUUGCUUCUUCCAUUUGUGGAGUUGUUUUGGUGGGUUUCGAUUGAUCCAUGACGAGCUAUGACAUGUGCUGAGUUAAUUUAUUUAGUGAAUCACUUCAAUUUCACAUGAGCUCAUAGAUCGAUCCGAUAUUCGGUUUGGGGAGAAAAACUCGUUCUUUGUCCAAUCAAAAUAUUUUCUGGAGUUUGGGUCAGUCUCAAACAAUAAUUUUUGGGGAAUAGUUUCGUGGCCUGUUGAAUCUCAUUUAUCCAAAUUUUGGGAAUGAAUCGUUGAGUCCUUGUCCAGGUUUGUGGGAUUUUUGGAGCCGCUUUCCUCUGCUCGUUGUUCUGUUCGUGAGCUGUUCUUGGGCACUCGUAUACAGGCGUGCGUAGGGGCGCCCCUGGGUCCGGUGACAGCGGCACCAACACCGGCCCAGCUGCCGUGUGCGCUCACCAGAGCACCGCUCGUCCCUGGGAGAUGGAG
rnacentral:lncRNA from 1 species